rnacentral:rRNA from 1 species
AAUGGGGGAAACCCUGAUCCAGCCAUGCCGCGUGAGUGAUGAAGGCCUUAGGGUUGUAAAGCUCUUUCGUCGGGGAAGAUAAUGACGGUACCCGAAGAAGAAGCCUCGGCUAACUCCGUGCCAGCAGCCGCGGUAAGACGGAGGAGACUAGCGGUGUUCGGAAUUACUGGGCGUAAAGCGUGCGCAGGUUGUGAGUUAAGUCUGAUGUGAAAGCCCGGGGCUCAACCUCGGAUGUGCAUUAGAAACUGACUUGCUGGAGGUUGGAAGAGGAGAGUGGAAUUCCCAGUGUAGAGGUGAAAUUCGUAGAUAUUGGGAAGAACACCAGUGGCGAAGGCGGCUCUCUGGUCCAUACCUGACACUCAAGCACGAAAGCGUGGGGAGCAAA